UAAUAAAAGAGAAAGAGAGCCAUGCGCUAACAUGACUCUCCAGCAAACACCAUUUAAGAUGGUGACAGCCUGCUAUAAGUGUGAAA
rnacentral:sRNA from 1 species